rnacentral:tRNA from 1 species
GUGAACAGAGUUUAGCAUAACGUUAGAUUGUGAUUCUGAAAGCAGGGGUUAAAACCCCCUUGUUCACC